rnacentral:rRNA from 1 species
AACGAACGCUGGCGGCAUGCCUAACACAUGCAAGUCGAACGAGACCUUCGGGUCUAGUGGCGCACGGGGGCGUAACGCGGGGGAACCUGCCUUUAGGUUCGGAAUAACUCAGAGAAAUAUGAGCUAAUACCGGAGGAUGUAUUCGGACCAAAGAUUUGUCGCCUGUAGUUGGGCCCGGGUUGGAUCAGCUAGUUGGUGGGGUAAAGGCCUACCAAGGCGUCGAUCGGUAGCUGGUCGGAGAGGGUGACCAGCCCCGCUGGGACUGAGAUGCGGCCCAGACUCGUACGGGAGGCAGCGGUGGGGAGUAGUACACAGUGGGGGGGAGGCUGAUGCAGCAACGCCGCGUGCGUGAUGACGGCCUUGGUGUUGUGAACCGCAUUCGCUUGUUACGAUGCGUGAGUGACGGUAACGGGAGAAGAAGCACCGGCUAACUACGUG